rnacentral:rRNA from 1 species
ACCAAAUUAGUAGCAAUACCGGUUUGGUUCAGUGGCGCACGGGUGCGUAACACGUGAGCAAUCUGCCGGGAAGUGGGGGAUAGCUCGCCGAAAGGCGAAUUAAUACCGCAUGUGGCUAUCUUUUGAUUAAUGGAAAAGCCAAAGCAGCAAUGCGCUUCCUGAUGAGCUCGCGGCCUAUCAGCUAGAUGGCGGGGUAAAAGCCCACCAUGGCGAUGACGGGUAGCUGGUCUGAGAGGACGACCAGCCACACUGGAACUGAGAUACGGUCCAGACACCUACGGGUGGCAGCAGUCGAGAAUUUUUCACAAUGGGGGCAACCCUGAUGGAGCGACGCCGCGUGGAGGAUGAAGGCCUUCGGGUUGUAAACUCCUGUCAUGCGGGAACAAGAAAGUGAUAGUACCGCAAGAGGAAGAGACGGCUAACUCUGUGCCAGCAGCCGCGGUAAUACAGAGGUCUCAAGCGUUGUUCGGAUUCAUUGGGCGUAAAGGGUGCGUAGGUGGUGAUGCAAGUCUGGUGUGAAAUCUCGGAGCUUAACUCCGAAAUUGCACCGGAUACUGCGUUGCUCGAGGACUGUAGAGGAGAUCGGAAUUCACGGUGUAGCAGUGAAAUGCGUAGAUAUCGUGAGGAAGACCAGUUGCGAAGGCGGAUCUCUGGGCAGUUCCUGACACUGAGGCACGAAGGCCAGGGGAGCAAACGGGAUUAGAUACCCCGGUAGUCCUGGCAGUAAACGGUGCACGUUUGGUGUGGGCGGGUUCAGACCCCGUCCGUGCCGGAGCUAACGCGUUAAACGUGCCGCCUGGGAAGUACGGUCGC